rnacentral:lncRNA from 1 species
GUGGUGAUUCUUACUCAGGAAUAAUUGUUCCAAUGAUCGUUCAGCAUGUAUCUGACGGUAAUUAACUCAAUAACUAUAUAUGAGCUAAAGGCCUCUAUUAAACAAACAUUUAUUAUGGUCGUUGGGGAAAAAUUGUUGAUUUAUUGCAGGUAUUGAUGUCGGACACCGGCCAAGAAUGAAUCUCAAAGUAAGUCACAUAAUUAACAUAUGGGAAAUUCAAAAGAAAAUCUGGUUUCAUUUAUUUGAUUUACUUAUUUUUCAGUAACAAUUCAUAGCUUCAGGCACCGAGUUUUGUUGUUUCUAUUGAAUCUUGAUGAUAUUUGAUAAUAAUGGACGCAGGGAUAUUUGCUUGGGAACCCUCUAACAGAUUCCACUGAAAAUCAAAACUCAGUGCCACACUUCGCAUACCUGAAUGCACUUAUCAGCCAUGAAAUCUACGAGGUGAAUUCUCUUUUCAUAUCUACUUUUCAAAGUAAUUGUAUGUGUUUAUAAAGUCAUAUCCAAUUGUGGAUGUCCGCAACUUGUAAAAUUAAAAUAGUUCCUGGUAACUAGCUACAAGAAAUGAAGAUGCGAAAGUAUGAAUCUCAAUGUUCAAGUCUUUAUAGUGCAUUAAGGUUCAUAAACUUUUUUUUUUAAAUCUUUUUAUGGCUAAUUUGUUACAUACACCUACGUCCCUGUGUUGAAUUGUGUCUUCAGUUUGACUAGUAAAUAGGAGUCAAGUAGGCUUAUGAGUAAAAUAAAUCUGGUCACCUCCAAUAAUCUAAUCUUUUUGACUGGAUACUUAGAUAUUAUGAAUAUAGUACUCUUGUUGAGAAUAUCAUUCCCACAUUUAUUGAGAAUAGUUAAUAAAUUUCAACUCUUGAGUUGACUUUUGAGUAUGAAUUAAGCCUGAGAGUUAUUAUAAGUGCUCUCAGCAAGCUUAAAUGCAAUGAUUUAUUUAACAAAUUUGUCCACAAAAAAUGGUAAUCGGUGAGCGAUAUUAAAUUCUUUAACAGAUUUCAUUUCAUUUUAUUCUUUCCAGUCAGCCAAAAGAAAUUGCAAGGGCGAGUAUGUGAAAGUAGAUCCAAGCAAUGGCUUAUGUAUAGCCGAUCUUGAAAAUAUUACGGAGGUGAGUAGAUAAUAACACCCACUCAUCAAUUAGUAUUAAUUACAAGCAGCAACAAAAUUAACACAUUAAUUGAAUUUACAGUGCAUUAGCAGAGUAAACCACGCGCAGAUAUAUGAACCUUCUUGUAGAGGUCCGAUUAUAUCCCCUAGACGCAAGCUUUUCAACUGGAAUAGCAGCGUCCUCGAAGAAGAUUCUUUAGAUUUUCUCUCUUCGCCAACUCAACCUGCAGCUUCAGGAACUUGGUGUCGGGUAAAACUCUACACAUGCACAUACAAUUAGAAUAACCUUAAAAUAAAUAAAUUAUGAGUUGAAACCCAUAAAUCCAUAUCAAAUCCAUCAACUUUGAUAAAUUUCGAAUAAAGAGUAAACCCCAUCUUAUCCUAUUCAACAUUCCAUUGAUUAAGGAUUCAAUUUCGGAAGUAUUUUUCAGAUACGAACAUUCAUAUGUAAUUGGCUGUAGCCACUAGUUAGUUGGUUGGCUCUUGCAGUGAAAGCAAGAGGAAAAUGGUUUAAAUUCAGGGAUACAUCUAAUUCAAUAGGUCGAAUUGGAUUAGAUUAAAACUUUUACAAACUGAACGAUUCUUGAUUAAACACAAACUUGAAUGUUUUCUUUUUUUCUUUUUCCAUAAACUCAUCAAAGUUUAAAUCAUAGGCAGCAUACAAAUAUUUCUAACAUAUGUGUGUGUGUAUACAUAAUAGGUAUUUAUGUUAUUAUCCGAUCAAUAAAUUAUAUAAGCUAAUGAUCUUUCCUCCUUGUACAGUUCCACAACUAUGUCUACUCAUACAUUUGGGCAAACGACAAAACCGUUCAAAGUGCUAUUGGAGUCCGAGAGGUAUGUUAAGCUUAAUCCUAAGAAUUGUAGCACCCAAAUUAUUAAUUAAUUUUGCUCAAACAUUUGCACUGACAAGCAGGGGACAGUAAAAUAUUGGGUGAGAUGCAAUCAAAGUUUAUCGUACACAAAAGAUGUCUCAAGUAGUCUUGCUUACCACCGAAACCUCAUCAAGAAAGGCUAUCAAGUUUUGAUUUACAGGUAGCAACUUAGGAAAGAAAAAAAUUAUUAGACGUGGAUGUUCACGUAUUUUAGAAUACAGAUGUCUUAAAUCUUUAUACAAAAAAAUAAUACAAUGCAUAUCAAUAUAUAUAAAUUGAUCGUAUAUUUAAUUUUUAAUUAGUCUUUCAACAAAUUUUUGUAUAAAAAUUUUUGGGAUGUCUGCAUUUUAAGAAAGUAAGACCCAGGAGUUACAUCAAAAAAUUCCUUCAUCAUUAAAAUAAUUUUAAGAUUUUGAAUUUUUCAAAACCACCUAUUGUUGUAUAACUGAUAAAAACCUAGCAAUGUUUUGAACUGGCUUCGGUCUAAAUUUCUAGGGCUUACGGAUAAAUUUGUUCUCUGAAUUCAGUGGUGAUGUCGACAUGAAGGUUCCAUACGUAGCCACUGAAGCAUGGAUAAAGUCAUUAAGUUUGACGAUUGAAACUGGCUGGCAGCCGUGGUUUGUGGAAGGUCAAGUUGCCGGGUUGGUUUAUUUUCAUCUCAACUUGUUUAUCAUGUGGUAUAUUAACUGAACAUUAUAUUUCACAGUUGUUUUGAUUUAUACUAUUGAUUUCCGUAGAUAUUGGUACCGGUACAAGGAAAAGAACAAUUAUCAUUUGACAUUUGCCACAGUAAAGGCAAGAAUAAAUCAUUUUCCCUGAAAAUUAUCUACCAUGAUUUAUUAGCUAAUUGGUAAUUAAGCAGUUAUAUUAUGUAGUGAACGACCACUAAUUGCGUAAUUAAUUAUGGGUUGUACAGGGAGCAGGUCAUACAGCUCCAGAGUACAAACCUAAGGAGUGUCUUGCAAUGAUUGACAGGUGGUUCGCAUGCCAUCCUCUCUAGAGCCAUGUUCAUAUAAUUAAUAAGCUUUCGAGGUAGAAAAAUAAAUGUGGAAAUUAAGUGGCUGAUGAAGCUGUAAACGUCGAUAAAAUUACUUACGUUUAGCCAGAGUCCAAGGGCAGGGAGUGUCUUGCAAUGACCUACAGGUGGCUUACAUGUUAUCCUCUUUAGCACAUUGGCUGGAAAAAAAAAAAAAAAAAAAACUUAAUUGACGUAUUAAUUUAUUAAGAUUUUACUAUAUGUAUUUUUUUUUUAUUAGUCUCAUAUUAUCUUUUGAAUAAAGUAAUGCAAACAAAGGCACAUACACUUGCAUAACCCCAAGAUAAUACAAAUUAAUGAAGGCUUCAAAGCCUAUGUUCGGAUAAAAGGAAAUGCUUCUACAUAUAUACUUAUAGAGAGACCUUCGAGUACAUUAAUUUUUCCUUGAGGUUUUUUAGAUUUCCUUUAGGGAGAUCGACAAUUUCUCUCUUACAGUAAUCAACUUAUAUCAUUUCUCUUCCUGCUGUUUUUAUAAUGGCCAAAAAUCUCCCUGAUAGCAUAAGUUUACAAUAUUAUAUUUAUUUUCAACUACUCUUUUAUUUAUAUUUAUUAUAAAUAAAAUAAAUCACAUGAAUAGAAACUAAAUAAAAAAUUAAGCAUUAAAAACAAGAAAUAUAUGUUUUGAUAUGAGAAAAAAAUUAAUAAUAAAAUUUUUUUCUUAUACUUAUUCAUUUUGUGAAAAUUUUCUUAAAAUAAACAUUUAUUUUUAAUACUUAAUUUUUUUAUUUAGUUUCUAUUCAUGUAAUUUAUUUAAUUUAUAAUAAAUAUAAAUAAAAAAGUAGUUGAAAAUAAAGAUAAUAUUGUAAACUUAUGUUGUCAAGAAGAUUUUUUGCCAUUAUAAAAAUAAUAAGAAGGUAAAUGAUAUAUGUUGAUUACUAGUGGGAAAGUGGCAAUUCCCUUUUCCUUUAUCAUAAUUUUGAAUCAUUUGAAAUUCUGAUUGGUUUUGUUGGGAAAUUCCCCAACCUUUUUUCCUUUUUAUUUUUUUAUAUAAACCGUGACGGAACGAUGAGAAAUGAUUAACGGAAAAAAUUACACCUACAUGAUCAAGAGAAAAGUAUAAGCCUCACUAACACGUAACCAUGUUACGUGAAGAAUUAAGAAGAUUAAUUCACAUGGAAAGAGACAAAUACCCAACGCACCCACAACAUUAGUAAUCUCUUUAAAGACAAGAGGCAAUGUUGUUCUUAUCCCCUUGGAAGUCAAAAAAAUUAACCAAUAAACGUGCCUAUGAAAGUCGGGCUGCCACGUAUUAAAAGCAAAGAUCAAUCAUUGACUUUGAGAGGACGCUGUCGGUGAGACGAGAUCCAACCUACGGUACGCUGCAAUUAGGUGCGUCACUGUACUCGUGUCGAGUUUCUAUUAGAAAGAGCCACAGCAAAGCGCUCCAGCUUCACACGUAACUGUCGAAUCAGAUCUCUCAUAACCAUAAUCUUUGAUGAUGAAAGAAUUUAUUUAUGAAGUAAUUAAUCUCAAUCUCACCAUAUAUACGUGUGUGUUUAAAUUCAAGAUUUUAGAUUUGUUAAAGAUCAAAUUUAAAAUCUGAAAAUUUUAUUGAAUUACGUAGUUUAAUAGUUUGUACACACAUAUAACUAAAAGAAAAAAAAAUAAAAAUCUGUCGAAAAACGCCGUCUGUGGGGAUCGAACCCACGACCACGUGGUUAAAAGCCACGCGCUCUACCACUGAGCUAAGACGGCAUUGCAUGCUUUUUGGCAACAUAGUAUUUUAUUCAACAAAACUGAAAAUAAGCCCGGUCUAAAAUUCAGGUAUACGACGUGCAAUUUCGAUGGGUAUAUAAAAACUAAUAAAAAUGGCAGAGUUUUUACACCCAUACAGUGAUUUUAACCGACGUUAGUGGCGAUCUUUAACAGCAAAUUUUGGCCGCUUCAUAAGUUACUAUUGGGUUAAUUUAGCGUCAGCGACCACUACAAUGUGCGUCGGGCGCCUACACGGCUACGUCUUUCCAUCAUGACUGUGCCGUCAAUUUGGUAGUUAAAUCUAACGAUACAAUGAUAAAUUCGUAGUUCGUUCUUUCGUUAAUUGAUUUGAAAAAAAAAAACUCACUUUCUCUCUUUUUUUUUUUUUUUUUAAUUAAGUGCUCAUUUAAAUUUUAUAUUUAAAAAAUACCUCAAGACACUAUUACUAUUAAACAUAUUACAAUCUUACUCUAAUUUUUUCUUUCUUUUUAUAAUAAUGUCGUUAUCAAUAUCCAUAGGGAUAUUAAUGAAAAAGAAAAAUGAUGAUUUAUCAAAUUAAUUUUAAGUGUAGCAUAAAAAUAUUUACAAAAUUAUAUUAUUAUUUAGUGUUAGGAUUAACUUGGUAAAUUAAUUUUGUUAUAAAAUAAUUAUUAGUAAGAUUGUUGUUCAAGUACAAAAAAUACUAAUUUUUUCACAUUGAUAAUUAUUGGUUAAUUUGCUAAUUAACCUUUUAUGGGCAUUGGCGGUGCCAUAAAUUAUUUUUAGUAGGGGCUAAAUUCAAGUAGUAAUUUAAUUCAAGAAAGUAGUCAAUGAAUAACAUAUAUCAAAAUAAAAAUUCAUUAAAGUAUUUAAUUCAAUACACUUAUAACUGUCUUUGACGAGGUUUCAUGUGAUGAAAACAUUGAAGAAUAACAUCAUUGUCUAGACUACAAAAUAUAUUCUUUUAUAGUAUACAACAAGACUAUCAUUCAACCAUUGAUCUCCCAUUCGAUUUAGCUGACGAUUUUUCACCAAAUUCAUAGCUGAAAAUGCCUUUUCAACUGUAGCUGUGGCAACUGGUAAAAUCAAUACUACUGUCACCAAUAAAUAAACUAAUGAAUAUAAUUUAUCCUUCUUAGUCUCAACCAAUUUUCUUGCUAGCUCACCAAUCCCUUUCAAUCAUGAAAAUUUGUUGUCAGAACUCACAUCCAUAAUAUAAACAUCAAGUUGAGUUUCAAGUGCCACAAGAUCCAUUGGAGAAAAAUCAUUUGGAUAAAACUCAGCAAGGCGAAGUAGUUUAUGUUUAUCCAAGAAUUUUUUUGAUUAACAACAAGCUAAACUCAAAAUCAAAUGAUUGCAUGCACUUCAAUAACAUUGUAGCUUGAAAUCUUUGUUCAAAAUUUCCCUCAUUUGACAUUAUCUCAAGCACGUCAACAAUAGAUGGAAACAUGGUGAUUAUGCUCAAUAACGUACCAUAAUGUGAGCCCCAACGUGUAUCAACAGAUCGUUUUAAAGUAAUCUCUUGAUUUAAACCUUGUCCACUUGAAAGUUCACCAUCAUCGAGUGCUUUAAUAACUACUUGAGCAUGUUUCUCUUGAAGAAUAGCAUGAUGUUUUGCUGAAGCACCAACAACAUUGACUAACAUUGCAACUAAAUUGAAAAGAGAAUUAACAUCUUCAUGCUUCUUAGCCAUAGAAAUUAGAGCCAACUGAAAUUGAUGUGCAAAACAAUGAAUAAAAUAAGCACAUUUGUUGUCCUUUAAAAUCAGUGUUUUAAGACCAUUGAACUCACCUUGCAUAUUACUAGCUCCAUCAUAUCUUUGUCCACGCAAUCUAGACAUACUCAAACCAUGUAUGGAAAAUAGCUUGUCAAGUACCUCUUUAAGUGAAAUAGAUGUAGUACUAGUAACAUGUUCAAUCACAAUAAAACGUUCAACCACAUAGCCACUUUUAUCCACAUAAUGUAAAACAACAACCAUUUGCUCCUUUGUAGAAAUAUCACGAGAUUCAUCAAUAACGAUAGAAAAUAAAACAUCACCCAUCUCUUUAAUAAUAAUGUUGGUAGUUUCAACUGCACCACAACUUACAAUAUCUUUUUGAAUCUCAUUUGAUGUCAUUUGAAGAUUUCUAGGAGCAUUAUCAAAAGUAACAACAUUAAUGUCUUCCUUAUGAUCAGUAAGAAAGCAUAGAAGCUUAAGAAAAUUCCCUCGGUUGCCUGAAUCUCUAGACUCAUCAUGCCCACGAAAUGCAAGCCCUUGUUUCAAUAAAAACUGAAUGGAAUCAAUAGUAGCUAUCAUGUGAGCUCGAUAAUCGCUUCUAUGCUUGUCAGAAUGUCUUGUGUAAGCUUGUUUUAAUAAAAAACCGAAUGCAAUCAAUAGUAGCUAUCAUGUGAGCUCGAUAAUCGCUUCUAUGCUUGUCAGAAUGUCUUGUGUAAGCUUGUUUUAAUAAAAAACCGAAUGCAAUCAAUAGUAGCUAUCAUGUGAGCUCGAUAAUCGCUUCUAUGCUUGUCAGAAUGUCUUGUGUAAGCUUGUUUUAAUAAAAAACCGAAUGCAAUCAAUAGUAGCUAUCAUGUGAGCUCGAUAAUCGCUUCUAUGCUUGUCAGAAUGUCUUGUGUAAGCUUGUUUUAAUAAAAAACCGAAUGCAAUCAAUAGUAGCUAUCAUGUGAGCUCGAUAAUCGCUUCUAUGCUUGUCAGAAUGUCUUGUGUAAGCUUGUUUUAAUAAAAAACCGAAUGCAAUCAAUAGUAGCUAUCAUGUGAGCUCGAUAAUCGCUUCUAUGCUUGUCAGAAUGUCUUAUGUAAGCUGUUCGAAUGUG